GAUGAACGCUGGCGGCGUGCCUAAUACAUGCAAGUCGAGCGAACAGACGAGGAGCUUGCUCCUCUGACGUUAGCGGCGGACGGGUGAGUAACACGUGGAUAACCUACCUAUAAGACUGGGAUAACUUCGGGAAACCGGAGCUAAUACCGGAUAAUAUAUUGAACCGCAUGGUUCAAUAGUGAAAGACGGUUUUGCUGUCACUUAUAGAUGGAUCUGCGCCGCAUUAGCUAGUUGGUAAGGUAACGGCUUACCAAGGCAACGAUGCGUAGCCGACCUGAGAGGGUGAUCGGCCACACUGGAACUGAGACACGGUCCAGACUCCUACGGGAGGCAGCAGUAGGGAAUCUUCCGCAAUGGGCGAAAGCUUGACGGAGCAACGCCGCGUGAGUGAUGAAGGUCUUCGGGUCGUAAAACUCUGUUAUUAGGGAAGAACAAAUGUGUAAGUAACUAUGCACGUCUUGACGGUACCUAAUCAGAAAGCCACGGCUAACUACGUG
rnacentral:rRNA from 1 species